rnacentral:hammerhead_ribozyme from 1 species
AUCCAGCUGGAGAAGGAGUCCCAAAUAGGACGAAAUGCGCAUCCUGGAU